CCAUGGCUACUGUUUCAACCUGAAAAAUCAGGAGUAGUGCAGAAGGAACAAACCAGCAAAGCAGUGACAGACUGAGGAGAGGAGCCAUUUGCUGGCAGCACAGGGGGAUUGACAAAGUCUGGAUCAGAACCCAUGAAAUUAGAUUGUUUGGAAUAGUUUUUACACUAAAUGUUAUUGUUCCUUAAGUCUAACUGAAGGGUGACAUGAUUAAAUUGAUUUUUUCUGGAGAUAGGAUCUCUGUUACUGACUCUCAGACAGAGUUGAUUUUACUUUGAAAUUUCAGCUUCUUACUUUGUUACUUGCCUAUGCCAAAACUAUUCUUACAGAUUUGUGUAAAGAUUUGCUGGAUUUACACAAAGCCCUGUUAUUUUAGCUGAGCAAGUUCUUUACAAGCUUGUUGUCAGUAAGGGAAUUAUUUUUCUCCAGUUACUGAAUUCAUAUUUUUACAUCAAGAUAGCAUAUCUCUGCUCUUUCUUCAAAAGCGUAGCUUAUUGACAGACAAACCAAAAUUCCUCAGCUCAUUUAUGAACUCCUUCAGUUCAUUUAUGAGUAACUGAACUGGAAAUUAUGUUUUUUUUUUGUUUUUUUUUUCAAUUCCAUUCCCUUUAAAGACAGGAAUUUAGGAGAUGGAGAGCUUCACUGUGACUAAAGCUGAGUUUGAAUCCUUUCUGCAGUGUUCAGUAAUCACUCUUUAUUGCCAAUUUUCAAUGUUCUCCUUCAAGGCUUGUUCCCUGCUGCAGUUUAGAAGCCACCUGGGCUAACCUGGAGGAUGCCCUCACUGGCUGCAGGCUACCAAAGCUUCCUGCUCCACCUGGCAACCUCUCACAGUGCUUUUCUUUGGCACCUGCAGGCUGACUUGCAUCUUCCUGCCUCUCGUGCUCCUCUUCUUCAUCAACAGGAGUGACUCUUAGUACUGGAAUAAAGUGUGACACCAGUAGCUGAUAGCCAGCCUCUGGGAGGGGGACACAAAGACCCCAAAUGGCACCAUGACAUCCAGCUCGCAUCCCCUGGGGUUCAUUUUUGCCUUCUGGCACCCCACCCUCCUGUUAAUAGACCCUGGACAUUUAAAUGAAAGUCCCUGCUCAGAAGCCAGGCGCCCCAGAAUUACAGAUCAACAACUAAAAGGUCAGCAGCACCCUGCCCAGCUUGGCAUCCACUCUGGGGGCACCAACAUUCCCACGGUGUGUGAGACAGGGCACUGCUGAGGCUGGGUGCUCAGAGCAGCCCGCUCUGCUCUCCCUGGGGCAGAAAGCUGGGCCAGCUGCACACCAGGAGCUGCAGGUUAGUAAGGAACAGGGGGAGAUAUUUCUGUAGCAGCUCUGGUGAACAGAUCCUGCUGCACCAUCCCCACUUCUCUUACCCACAGGAUCCCACACACCCAUGUGCAGCUGGGGGUGAAAACCUGAUCGGCUGCUGGUACCCAGAAACCUGGUUUGCUCCCCAGAAGGGGCUGCAGGUCCAGCCAUCUGCCCUGGAAAGGCAUUCCCCAAAGGGAAUCCCCG
rnacentral:lncRNA from 1 species